rnacentral:rRNA from 1 species
AACGAACGCUGGCGGCAUGCCUAACACAUGCAAGUCGAACGCUCCGCAAGGGGAGUGGCGCACGGGUGAGUAACACGUGGGAACCUGCCUAUCGGUUCGGAACAACGUUUGGAAACGAACGCUAAUACCGGAUAUUCCCUCAGGGGGAAAGAUUUAUCGCCGAUAGAGGGGCCCGCGUCCGAUUAGGUAGUUGGUGGGGUAAUGGCCUACCAAGCCGACGAUCGGUAGCUGGUCUGAGAGGAUGAUCAGCCACACUGGGACUGAGACACGGCCCAGACUCCUACGGGAGGCAGCAGUGGGGAAUAUUGGACAAUGGGCGCAAGCCUGAUCCAGCAAUGCCGCGUGAGUGAUGAAGGCCUUAGGGUUGUAAAGCUCUUUCGCACGUGACGAUGAUGACGGUAACGUGAGAAGAAGCCCCGGCUAACUUCGUGCCAGCCGCCGCCGUAA